rnacentral:misc_RNA from 1 species
AAGUCGUAACAAGGUUUCCGUAGGUGAACCUGCGGAAGGAUCAUUACCGAGAUAGGGUCCUUCGGGGCCCGACCUCCAACCCCAUAUCUACCCAUCCUUCGUUGCUUCGGCGGGGCGCGGCCCCUAACCAGGGCCGCCGCGGUCGCCUCACGGCGCCCCCGAGCCCCCGCCCGAGGGACCAACCAAACCCUGCUCAAACAGUGUAACUCUGAGUUUGAAAACAAUAACUUCAAAA